UGGGAGGUCCAAUAGGGGGCGCCGCGUUGGAACGCCCAAAGGGGUUAUGCAGUUCGGGUGCUUAGGAAAUGUUGGUGUGUGAGUGCAUGGCGGCCAGGCCGAGAGGACCACGAGGACCGCUGGCGCUGAGGGUUCAGCCUGUCUAAGGCCACAAAUUCCAGAGGCUAAGGUUAAGGGCUCCCAGAGGCCAACCCUUGGGGACUGUUGAUGCCUAGGCUAGCAAACCCCACAGAGGGGACCCCCCCCUCCCCCGCCGGCGCUGAGGUGAGAUGAGGCUACGAGAGUUCCAGGGCUUAGAGGUAGGGGCCAGGACCCUGAGGGGAGAGCUUACUGCUCAUAUGCAGAGGAUCGACCCAGGAUGGAUAAGCAGUUGAGGCCCCAAGGAUGCUGAACCCUGCACACGUGGAAGCUACUGGCUGCCAGAAUCUGAAAACCCCAAGUCACAUGGAUGAGUGGGGGGGUAAGAGACCAUCAUAGUAUGGACAGACAUUUGAGGAACCAGCGAAUACAAAAGGCAGCUCAGAGGCCUGGGCCAAGAAACUGGAAGGAUUUGGUGUGAGACUGGAGGAUCAUCUUGUCAGCCCGACGGUCAGCGCUCAGCCACCAGCUUGCGGAGGGAGCUGAGAGCCACACGGAAACGGAGCAGAUGAGCCAGAUCACACAGAAUUUCCAGCUUCUGUCGUCCAGCCCUCCUCGAAAUAGCCUUCUAGGCCUGUUGCUUUGAAUCAGAAAGAGUUACCUCUGUACCUUCUUCGGGAUCAGUACAGUCAACCGGAAGACCAACGAGGACUAAUUCCCAGGGAGCCCCUUCUGUCCGACUGGACUGCGUGUCUCUUGAGCUGAGCCCCACCUUCAACGCUCGGGUUCCUCUUUUCCUCUCUCCAGUGUCUCUUACACCGUGUGGCAGUCUAGCAAGGACAUAAAGUUAGUUUAUUUCUCCUAAAUCUACUUCUGUGUUUCGGAGUCAAAGUAAGCUCUUUUCUGAUAACAACGAAAAUACCGGGCAAUACGGACGGUACGUGAAGGACAAGGACCCUGCUUCUUGGAGCUGUGGAGGGUGCACUCCCCUCCUGCUUUCCACGCCAUCCCAGGACACUGUCAUCUGGGAACCUCGCCGUGUACCUUUCCUGUGUGGUGAGGUACUGCCCAAGAGUCUACGCCAGCACACCAGAGCCACACGGUCCUUCCUCCGGCUGUACUCUACUUGAUUGAGUGUAGAUGACCUGCAGGUGGACCCUUCCCGCAUCACUGAGUCUCUGGACCUCCGACUCUCAUUACAUGAAUUAAGAAACAUAGGCUUGCUUUCAUUUUUCCUUCCAUCAAAGUAAUACCUGUGCAUAAUUUAAAAGCCACAGUUUGGUUUGGACGGUGAAAAACAGUCCUUGUCCCCUCUCCCAAGACAAAUGGGACUCGUGGCCAGUGCAGGAAGAGAUUAGGCUGAGUGGGAGUUUCAGAACUCACAGAACACUCAGGUCUGUGCCUAUGAUCACAGCCGCCCAGAAGGACCAGAUUCCCUCUCUCCUCCAUUCUCGGCUACCAGCCGUCACACAUUCAGCCAUCCAUCCAGUAAACCUUUACUAAAGUUCAAUCACGUUCCAGACACUGGCCAUGGUGGCUUGGGAUAGAAAGACAAACAGGAAGCACGUGUCUUGUGUGGAGUUUCCUCUGCAGACUGACAACCAACCCCCUUCAGAAGGAACCACCAGGGGCCAGGCACCGAAGACGCAAUAGCUGAGACAGGUGUUGACUGCCACUUCCGUGGACAGGAGGGUGAGUAAAAGGCCGACGCGACAAGCACCUUAGCAGAGCAAGGACAUGGGCCCUCUCCCGUGGAGAUGCUCACGGGAAACCCCUGCAGUGGGCCCGGGAAAGUGUUAGGACAAAAGGCCAUCGAAGCAGGGUUGGCCUGAGAUAGCAGGAAGAGGGUCCAUGGUGGCCCCCGUGGCUCACGAGAAGGCUGAGGUGAAGGUGCUGUGAGGAAGAGGUGCCAGACCCGGGUGUCCACGACAACACAGUGACUUCCUGGUUGGCUGCUCCCUGGUUUCAGGGAUGACCUCAGGACCAACCACACAGCAUCCUGGGAGCUCCUUCUCUAUCUCCAUCCAGGCUCUGGUUGGCCAGAGAUUGUAACCUCCCAGUUCUGCUGCUGAGGAUCCUACAACACGUCCUGCUGACCCUCACGAUGGUUUUGGGCCAAGCAAUCUGUCACAUGGAGGAAGGUGCCCUCAAGGCCAACCUCCCUCCAGCGGACCUCAACAACAGACAGAACAACACUCCGUCUCCUGCCUUUCUUACACCCGCGCACCUGUGCAUCCCGGAGCAGAGGCCUGCACUGCGCAGAGGAGCCGCAGACCAGAGCCCCUAACGCUUUCCCCUUCAGCUCACACACUCCGGAUUUUGGAGCCUGCUCUCUUGGAAGAAGGUGUAUGGUUUCAUAAGUCAGAGGACACGGUGUACAGGAGCUUCCACAGUGCCCGCACAUAAUGUAAUUUACCACCAGCGCCAGAGCUCUCUGACUCCAAUGCAACAUUUGUAAACUUGAAGACAGCUUGUCCGUGAAAUUAAUUAGAGCAAAAGUUAAGUACCAGCCACUGGGUUCUUUCUCCCAUCGCACCAUUUUUAUAAGUCUGUCAGAAUGAACUGUGACUUCGCUGGCUGUCACCGCCCCUCCCUGGCUCUGGGUCGUCACUUCAGCUUUGCUGAAAGUGCCCCCAGGGGACAGGCGGCCAGCCCUUCGCUGUCCUGUCUGGCUCCUUUUAAGCUCAGAAACUCAGCCCCACACGAGCUAGGAAGAGAGAGUCAUGGGGGAGAAAAGAUAAACACUGUUAUUAAGAAGACUUGGAUGUGUCUCUGAGAAAGUAGACACAAGUCAAAGUCCAGGCUCCACUUUUUUAUACAAGUAGACCCGCCUAGUUACAAAUGAAAAGGGUCUGUUUUAAUUUACUGCUUCUUGCUAAGUCCAAUAAGAUUUGAUUGCCCUGAAAGUAUUUCUAAAACCCUCACACAGAGGGCUUGGGUGGAGAGUCCACUGGUUCCCUGUACCUUCAUGUCCUUUUUACCACAGGGUCUCAGGAAAGGGUGUUUGGAGGCCUAGGCCAGACCCAGAAUUCUUGUCCCAAAACACAGGGGAGGGGGCAUGGGCUCAGGUGCCAUGCCUGAGUCAUCAGCUGGCGUGGCAUCUCUUGCCCCAGUGGGCACUGAUAUUUGCUCUUCUUCGGGAAGGGAGAAGACCUGUAUCCAUGUGACCUCUUUUCAUAUGCUCACAACAGAAGGCCACAAUCCACCCAUGCCCUUCCCUGAGAUGCCUGGUGACAUCCUGGAAGUCAUCCCAGCCCCUGUGGAAUCUGAGUGGGUCACUCAGGGUGUAACUCACCUGCUGUUGAUGUUACUGCCCACGUGUGCAUGGACACUGCUGUCCCUCCCUGGGCAGGGUCGCCUCCCAGCCCCCCCACCGCCUGAGCUUGUCCAAACAGAAGCUCCACUAGCCAGCCCCAGAGGUCUCUCUAGACCUCAUGGUGGUGACCUGUGCUCUCAGAGGUCCAGGAAGCAGCGUGCCCUCCUGCGGUAGCACCCCAAAACAACAUUAAAGACACUGCGUUGCACUGUGUAUCCGGCCACUCACUGCUUCGGCUAGGAAAGCUAAUGCUGUCCCUGGUGAUUGAUGAUGUAUCAGUGUCAAAAGGGAACUAACUUCGAGUGGCUUUUUUCCCCUUGCGAAGGGAAAUACAAUCUUUAUUUAAUUAUUUAUUUAUCUAGUAUUAUUAUUAUUAGCAUUUUCAGCAUAAGAAAGACAAUCUCUUCAAAUCACUACCUGACAACUUGCCUGGGCGAGGGGGCAGGUGGGGAGAACCGGCUUAAUCUGCCCGCCAUGCAUCAAAUUGAUUUAGCAGGCAACAAAUGUCAGGAGAAAUUAAAAAGGGAGUAAUGGCUCAAAGAAAAAAAGGCCGAGCAGCCCUCAGCAGCAUCAUAGGAGGCCGGCUUAUGUAUUCACAGUGGUUCCUGGGUUUUUAUUUUCUCUUUGUCUUUAGCCUUUGCCGGCCACUCGAAAAGUCCUUAUUUUGGUGAAGCGCAUUAGCAAAUACCAAGGACUUACCUGAGCCUAGCUUGUUUUAGGGAUGCAGGUACGCAUGUGUUCACUGGACGUUUUCAGUGGCAUGACUGUCUCUUUCUCCUCCUCUUCUUUGGGUCGCAGUGAUGAUCACAUGUUUUUCAUAGUUUGAAUUCUUCCCUGGGACCACAAAGCGGUAUAUAGGCACCAGUAGGAAAAGCCACUUUCUCUGCCACACCUACCUGGAAUUGACAGAGGGACAGAGCUGUCCUCUCUCAAUUCCACCAGGAAGGUAGCUCAGCCUCCAAGAGGAGGUGAGAGGCCUAUGACAGCUCCUCAGUGCUCUAGGAGCCAUCAUUUGCUGCCUCCUUACCACUUCUCACCACAGGGACAAAGGAGCGGUCCCCAUGGCCCAACUGUGAAAACUGAGCUUCCUCCUGCUGCUGGAAACCUUUCCUUGCCUGAGGACAUCACAGUAGCAGAGACUGACCAAUAAGUGACAAAGUGUGUGAGCUCCAGGCGUGCCACCCCUGGACCCCUCUGCCAGCAACAGGCCCCAGCACAGGGAAGGAGAAGGCAAAAGGACUCCAGGACCUCAAACAGACUGAGUUUGGAGUUUAGAGAAGCCAUGGUGACCAAAAUAGGUGAUCCAGAACAGUUACUACUACCACGCCUCUUCCUGUAAAAGGGUGCAGGUCAUAACCGGCCGGUGCGCACCUGUGAUCCUGCACUCUGAGAGGCUGAAGCAGUGUUCCCACCCAGCCCGGGCACCUAGUGACUUAGCAAAGUCCUGUCUCAGAAAACCAAAACUGGAAAGAGGGCUGUACCUCAGUACAAAGGCCCUCAGUCCAGUCCCCGGGACCACGGAGAAGAACAAGGUGCAUCUGCCACGUUGUGCCACCAUCAUCACCGUCUCUGCAGUGCCCUCCGUCUCGUCAAACUGAAACUGUCCCUGAGCUGUAAGUGCCCACUGUCCCCCCUGCCCCGGCCCCGCUACCGCUGACUUUCUGCCCCGUGAGUCCCUUACGGAUGAUUUCAUAUGGUCAGCUCGUUCCUGCCGCAUAACGUCCAGGGGGCCUGUCGCACGUGUGUUGGGCUUUCCUUCCUUUCUGAGGCUGACUACGCAUGCCAUUCUGCUACCCCUCACCCACAGAGAGGACCUGGGGUUCCUUCCGCGCGUCAGCCUUUGGGAAUAAUCUUGCUGUGACUGUGGGUGUACAAAGUCUCUUCCAGACCAUGCUUUCAGUUCUCUGGGAGACUCUAUAUGUACAUGCACAUCCCAGGCCAGAGCCGCUGCAUCACAUCUAACUGGUUUUAACUUCCCGAGGAACUGCCAGGUUGCUCUCCCCAGCAGCUGUGCCUUUCUCCAAACUCAGUUUCCUGUAUCCUCCAAAUCCUCUGCGUCCUUGUCAGUAUUUGUUCCCUUCUUUUUGUGUUUUCUGCUUAACUUGGUCACAGCCCCUCGAGUGGGUGGGUGCACCUAGCUUCGAUGUGCAUCUGUCUAGCGAUGAGUGACGCGGAGCGUCUUUCCAGGAGCUCACUGGCUAUUUGUGUGUCUGGCUUCCAAGCCCUCUUCCCAUUUCUGAAGGAAGCUGAUCUGUUGUUGCUGCAUUUGUAACAGUUUCUAUAUUCUGGAUAUCAAUCUUCUAUUAAAUACCUGACUUGCAAA